GGGAAUCACCCUGAAGAUCAAAGACAUCAGGGAGAGUGCACAAACAAUUUUUUUUUUUUUCUAAAAAUAAAAUUGACCUUUUCUAAGGGAAAAUUUUGAGGCUUCCUUUUUAACUGUUUAUAGAAUAAGCCUUGGAGCUGGAAAAAUGUUUCUCUUGCCUUUUUUUUUUUUUUUUUUUUUCUUUUUGUUUCCUUUCACUGCAGAUAUUAAGACUGAUUCAUUGGUGUCAGAAUAGGGCCAGGGUCACUGAGUUGUUUGCAACACAAACUAAAGUUUAAGGUAGUUGAAUUUAACUUUUAAUGUGUCUGAGCAAUGUUGUAAUGAGACUCCUGUGUAAGAAAUGUCAGUGUGCAACAUUAAAAGGUGAGAAAAACCCUGGUAUACACACUUUUAGCAUUCUUCUCUACCCACACCUUUCAGGACUUCAGCUAGAAGAGUACCUUGUUUUCAGGUGUGGAUCUCAUCUUGAAUGCUCAGAUUUGGCAGUAGUAGAGCCGUCAGGCUCAGUGUUUGCAUUUGAGUUAAAUGUCAGUUUGGUGAGAUUUUGGAUGCUGAGGAUAGGUAUAUAGCACUUUGUUUCCACCUAAACACUGCAGUAGAUACCUAAAUGCAUUGCCCAGUGUAACUGUUUGUGUCUUUUGCAGGGUUCAUCUGUCCAGACCGAGAUCUUGCUAUUUCCGUGCUGGCAGGAGCUGAGAGCACAGAAUAGUGCAGACCAGUGGUGUGACGUGUUUUCAGCACUUGCAUUGUCAUGCAGCAUCUUCUUGUCUGAGGAGGACAGACGGAAUAGCCCUUGGAGCGCGUGGCACAUACCCACCUCUCUAAGACCUCUUUGUGCUUAUCAGGAACUCUCUUUCCACUUGAGAUCCCCACACAGCUGUUAUGCUGCUGUCUUCUGGUGUGAAAAGAGAAAUCCUCCAGCUGGAGAAGCAAAUCACCUGCUCACUUGCUUCUUUUCUGUUAUCAUCUUCUGGAGGCUGAAGGCAUAGCAGGGAGGAGGACGACUCGCUCUGCAGGCUGCUUAUGAGUGCUGCCUGUUUCUGUGGCACGAGGCCAGCUGGGUUGCCCUUUGGUGGUGUGGGACUGUAAAAUGGAUCGGAUGGCGUUUGGUCUCCAUGCUCGAGUGCUCAGGGUGCUGGCUCAGAGGAGUAAUGGAGCACUCUCUGAGACACGCGCUCUCCUCCCAUUGAUUCAGCAGGCUGUUCCCUUCUGUCUGCCUGAGCUUGCGGGCUUUUCGAGGCCAAGGCAGGAUGAAUGAAGCUAUGGUAAUUACUACAACAUGAAUUCAGGAGGAUCCCAUUGGUAGGGUUCAUCAGCAACUCAUUAAUUAAACUGUUGCCAUGGUGCCGGUUGCCCUGGUAGCAUGAAAUCCUUUCUCCUCCCUCUCCCCUCCUCCUCUGCAGUUCACAGGCUUCUCAUUCAUAUUCUUGUGCUUAACAUGAAUGAAGCCAGAGAGCAUGGGGCUAGGGGAAGAGGUGCUUGAGGAGAGAAGAUGCCUUUUCCCCCACUGUGACUACCCCCUCGUGGGCCUGAAUAAUCACUCAGCUCUUCCUCUGUAUUUUUCUUUCCUUGGAAACACAAAUUCUGCCUCAUCCACAUCCUUUUUUUUUUUUUUUUCUUUUUUUUUUUUUUCCCCUGUGGUUGCUUACAGCUCAAAUCCCAAUUACCCCAAGCACCUGUUGUUAUUCUGGGUUCUUGGAAUGAGUUCCUGUGAUGAUUGACAGUGGUGCAAGUAAAGGGCUGGGCACUUCAUCUGCAGCCUAAUUGCAGAGGCUUGGCAGUUUUCUAGAGGUAAGCCUUUGCCUGUGUGGGUUUUCUCUGCUUGAUUAAAUCACAAUAUUUCCUCUGUCUCUGAAGCCAGAAAGGGCCAUUAACUCUUCCAGGCUGUCCACCUUCGUAGGACACAGCAGUGACUCCCCCCAUGUCUUCUGCUUUGUGCCUGAAAGCUUCUGGCUGAGCUGUGAUUUCCUUGCCAGAAGAUGCCUCAUCUUUGUAUAAAUGUUGAUAAUGAUGGAGAACACUGCACCCUGUGGCAACCUGUCCAUCCAGGAGUCUAACCACUCCUUGUUGCCAAGAAUCAGACCCCCCAACAUGCAUGCACUGUAAAUACAAUGGAUGUCAAUGAUCUUCCUCCCGGCAUAAAAAGUGCAGAAGAAGGUGUGAAGCUCUUACCCUCGCCUUUGAAACAAGUCCCAGAAGAACUGAUGUCAUUUUAUUUGGAACAGCUGCUAUCUGCCCAUGCUGUGUGGAGAGCCAUAUUUCGGCUGAGUCACCAAGGCCCGCCACACCCUGCUCUGUAGCACUUGCUCUCCAUAGCGAUUUAAUAACUCACAUUUACUGCAGAACUGUUAUUCAUAUCUCAUUAGAUUUUGUGGGAGCUUCAGCAGUAAGCAACGUACAUUGUCAUGGUUCACAAAGCUGUUGUGGUACUUGCCAACCAAGAGGAAAUUGCAUUUUCCCCUGCUGUAAAGGGGAUGGAAGCUAUGAAAUUAGUCAGCCUUAACAUGCAUUAAUCAAGGAAGGGAAGUUGAAAAUGCCCUUGGAGAAAGAUGGGCCUAGAAGCUGGGCCUAGAAGCUGGGCCUGUCUUGGGUAUGAGCAGUAGGCAAGAGACUAAAUGGCCAGUCUGGAGAGACCAUGCUGUCAUGAGAGCAGAUGAAACCAGGAGAAUGAUGAGGACAGCACCAUUAGGAGCAGCAGGAGAGGGAAAUUUGGAAAUAGCAGGUCUAACAGAGGUUCUCCUGAGCCACCUGGGAUUUUAGACUUUGGUUUGUGCUCCGUGGGACAGGUAGAGUAUGAGUGCUGGAAGGGACACAUCUGGCUCUGCACGUUCACUACUCCAGCGUUGUCCCUGUAAAUGUGGCAGGUGACUGGUCUGCAUGGAUUGUGUUCCCUGUAAGUGUGGGCCUGCAGGUGCCAGACUGCAGGCAAACCUCCUUUGCACAGGAAGAUGCUACAUCCUCCUUCCGUGCAAGUAAUGUUGUGCUUUCUUAUGGGGUACCUCUGAUGCCAAGACACAGAGACUUUCUACAUAUGUCAUUGUGCUGGAAGAAAGAAGAACCAGAAGAUAAAAGCUUGUGUAUGCUUCCUCUGGGAAAAGUCCAGACUGGCCUGAGGUUUAGUAUUGCUGUGUUGGAAGAGGAGGCACACAAGCCAGCACAAGCCAGGAGCACUGCACUCCAAGCGUGGCAAGAAAGAAGUUAUUUCCUGUAACUUUCCUGUAAAACAAACAAACAAAACAACAAAAACACACCACCAGCACCAAAAAUGAAACAAAACAAAACACCACAA